GUCAGCUCGUGUUGUGAAAUGUUGGGUUAAGUCCCGCAACGAGCGCAACCCUUAUCCUUUGUUGCCAGCGAUUCGGUCGGGAACUCAAAGGAGACUGCCAGUGAUAAACUGGAGGAAGGUGGGGAUGACGUCAAGUCAUCAUGGCCCUUACGAGUAGGGCUACACACGUGCUACAAUGGCAUAUACAAAGAGAAGCGACCUCGCGAGAGCAAGCGGACCUCAUAAAGUAUGUCGUAGUCCGGAUUGGAGUCUGCAACUCGACUCCAUGAAGUCGGAAUCGCUAGUAAUCGUGGAUCAGAAUGCCACGGUGAAUACGUUCCCGGGCCU
rnacentral:rRNA from 1 species